rnacentral:rRNA from 1 species
CUGCGGCGGAUUAGCUAGUUGGUGGGGUAACGGCCUACCAAGGCGAUGAUCCGUAGGGGGCGUGAGAGCGUGGCCCCCCACACUGGCACUGAGAUACGGGCCAGACUCCUACGGGAGGCAGCAGUGAGGAAUAUUGCACAAUGGGCGCAAGCCUGAUGCAGCAACGCCGCGUGCGGGACGAAGGCCUUCGGGUCGUAAACCGCUUUUCUGGGGAAAGAGCAAGGACGGUACCUCAGGAAUAAGUCUCGGCUAACUACGUGCCAGCAGCCGCGGUAAAACGUAGGAGGCGAGCGUUAUCCGGAUUUACUGGGCGUAAAGCGCACGCAGGCGGCUCCGUGAGUCGGACGUGAAAGCUCUCGGCUUAACCGGGAGAGGCCGUUCGAUACUGCGGGGCUUGAGGUAGGGAGAGGAAUGCGGAAUUCCCGGUGUAGUGGUGGAAUGCGUAGAUAUCGGGAGGAACACCUGUGGCGAAAGCGGCAUUCUGGCCCUCACCUGACGCUGAGGUGCGAAAGCGUGGGUAGCAAACAGGAUUAGAUACCCUGGUAGUCCACGCCGUAAACGAUGUCAACUGGGUGUCGGUAGUUUUACACUAGCGGUGCCGAAGCUAACGCG